UCUGUCUCUUUUUUCUCCUACCACUCUCUUCCUUUGGCCUGAAACAGGGCCUGGUACACAGUAGGUGCUCAAGUAGUAGACAACACAGAUGACAAUUGCUGUCCAUAUGGGAAGACAGACAAAUGAGGAGAAAAGUAUAUUUUUUCAGGUUGUGGUAAGUGUUCAAGAAGAACAAAAGGAAGCAGAAUGGACUUCCUGUGUGUGUGUGUGUGUGUGAUGGCUACAGGGUCAAAUGACUUCCUCACUGACAAGGUGACCUCUGAGACAGGUCUGGGAGAAGGAAGGUGCCACGGGCAUGUGUGGGGCGAGCUGCAGGUCAGGAACAGCCAGCCCAAAGGCCCUGGUCUAAGUGAGGAUUGCGGAUCUGAAGGAGGCCUGCAGGCUGCAGCUGUGAGCAAAGCAACGAGAGGAGCCAGGAUCGGAGGGGCGACAGUGUCACUGGACAAACCUGAGGAGCCAUGCUCACCCCUGAACUGCCGAACAGCUUUGCUGUCUUUUAAACCAUGGCACAGGUGUGGAAAGCAGGAUGCUCUGGGAUAGUUGGCUGGAUCACUUCAUCUAGGAACCUGAGUGGCUUCUCUGAAAUCCCAGGAGCAGAGCGGGUACACAGAGGUGCAGCUCCAGAGGCACUGUGUGGCCCUGGCAUGGUGGAGGCAUAGUCACUAUUACGUGUUCUCCAUUUCAGCAGAGGUCAUGACCUGGAUCAGCCUGCCAGUGGCUCCUGUUUCCUGUCUAAGAGCUCUAUGUGACUCAGCAGCUAUGCUGAGUCCAGGAAUAAGCCUAGCAAGGCAUCCUGUGCUAUCUCCUAUCACUGGUUUUUCUGUUUUGACUGUUCUUCUUGGACCUGCAGAGGCAAUUGCAAGAUAAUAAAGGACACCUGGCAAGUGUGGUCAUUUAAAAAAUUAAUAACUUCUGCUGGGUGUGGUGGUACACGCCUGUAAUCUUAGCAUUCAGGAGGCUGAGACAGGAGGCUUGUUACAAGUUAGAGGCUAGACUGGGUUACACAGUAAGUUCAAGGCCAGCCUGAACUACACAGGGAGAUACUGUCUCAAAAAAACAAAAACAAACUAGUAGUUUCCAUUGGGCAUGGCAGUACAAGCUUGUAAUGCCAGCAUUCUAGGAAUCUGAAGCAGGAAGACUUCAAGUUUGAGGCCAGCAUGGACAUACUGAGAAAUUAUCUCAAGAUGAGGGGGCGUAGGUGGCUGGAGAUGUAGCUCAGUGCAAAGGCCUGGGUUCAAUCCUGAUACUGGGUGGGGGUAGCAGUAUUUUCACUCUAUCACUGGGUCGCUGAGUUUCUUCCUUUGCCCUCCAGGUUUACUGCUGAAGAGGCGAUGCCAUGGCUGUAAUCAGCUGGACCCUAAAAGAUGAGGGCUUUGGCCUGGUAUGGCACAAGUGCAGCCAUAAGCUCCCUAAAGGUGAGGGGCGGCUCUGGCACCACACUGACCCCUUGAAAAUGUGUCAGAUGAAUGACCAAAUGAAAGGAGAAACAGAGAGGUAUAGAGAGAAAA